GACGAAGGAUGCAAGCGUUAUCCGGAUUCAUUGGGGUUAAAGGGAGCGUAGGUGGCCUUAUAAGUCAGUGGUGAAAUCUCUGGGCUUAACCCAGAAAUUGCCAUUGAUACUGUAGGGCUUGAGUAUAGUUGCCGUUGGCGGAGUAUGACAUGUAGUGGUGAAAUACAUAGAGAUGUCAUAGAACACCGAUUGCGAAGGCAGCUGACGAAACUAUAACUGACACUGAGGCUCGAAAGUGCGGGGAUCAAACAGG
rnacentral:rRNA from 1 species